rnacentral:piRNA from 1 species
AUUGAUCAGAAUCCGCGAUGGGCAC